GGCCGAUUGGCGCAGUGGUAGCGUUUCUGAUUCCAGUUAACUGCGAAUCUCCAGACGGUCACCCGUUCGAAUCGGGUAUCGGUCA